rnacentral:rRNA from 1 species
AGUGAACGCUGGCGGUAGGCCUAACACAUGCAAGUCGAACGGCAGCACAGGAGAGCUUGCUCUCUGGGUGGCGAGUGGCGGACGGGUGAGGAAUACAUCGGAAUCUGCCCAGUCGUGGGGGAUAACGUAGGGAAACUUACGCUAAUACCGCAUACGACCUUCGGGUGAAAGAGGGGGAUCGCAAGACCUCUCGCGAUUGGAUGAGCCGAUGUCGGAUUAGCUAGUUGGCGGGGUAAUGGCCCACCAAGGCGACGAUCCGUAGCUGGUCUGAGGGGAUGAUCAGCCACACUGGAACUGAGACACGGUCCAGACUCCUACGUGAGGCAGCAGUGGGGAAUAUUGGACAAUGGGCGCAAGCCUGAUCCAGCCAUACCGCGUGGGUGAAGAAGGCCUUCGGGUUGUAAAGCCCUUUUGUUGGGAAAGAAAUCUUUCAGGCUAAUACCCUGGGAGGAUGACGGUACCCAAAGAAUAAGCACCGGCUAACUUCGUG